AUUGAACGCUGGCGGCAGGCUUAACACAUGCAAGUCGAGCGGGGUGAGGUGCUUCGGUACUGAUCCUAGCGGCGGACGGGUGAGUAAUGCUUAGGAAUCUGCCAUUUAGUGGGGGACAACAUUCCGAAAGGAAUGCUAAUACCGCAUACGUCCUACGGGAGAAAGCAGGGGAUCUUCGGACCUUGCGCUAAAUGAUGAGCCUAAGUCGGAUUAGCUAGUUGGUGGGGUAAAGGCCUACCAAGGCGACGAUCUGUAGCGGGUCUGAGAGGAUGAUCCGCCACACUGGGACUGAGACACGGCCCAGACUCCUACGGGAGGCAGCAGUGGGGAAUAUUGGACAAUGGGCGGAAGCCUGAUCCAGCCAUGCCGCGUGUGUGAAGAAGGCCUUUUGGUUGUAAAGCACUUUAAGCGAGGAGGAGGCUACCUGGAUUAAUACUCUGGGAUAGUGGACGUUACUCGCAGAAUAAGCACCGGCUAACUCUGUGCCAGCCGCCGCGGUAACAC
rnacentral:rRNA from 1 species